UACGGGGGGGGCAAGCGUUGUUCGGAAUUACUGGGCGUAAAGGGCUCGUAGGCGGCCAACUAAGUCGGACGUGAAAUCCCUCGGCUUAACCGAGGAACUGCGUCCGAUACUGGAUGGCUUGAGUGUGGGAGAGGGAUGCGGAAUUCCAGGUGUAGCGGUGAAAUGCGUAGAUAUCUGGAGGAACACCGGUGGCGAAGGCGGCAUCCUGGACCACGACUGACGCUGAGUGAGCGAAAGCCAGGGGA
rnacentral:rRNA from 1 species